rnacentral:rRNA from 2 species
UUGACCUCGGAUCAGGUAGGGAUACCCGCUGAACUUAAGCAUAUUAAUNAGCG